rnacentral:rRNA from 1 species
GAUAAACGCUGGCGGCGUGCCUGAGACAUGCAAGUCGAACGAAGGAUCGGGCUUGCUCGAUCCUUAGUGGCGGACGGCUGAGUAACGCGUAGGUGACCUACCCCGAAGUGGGGAAUAACUGCCCGAAAGGGCGGCUAAUACCGCAUGUGGUCGCACGUUCAUUCGUGCGAGUAAAGCCGCAAGGCGCUUCGGGAGGGGCCUGCGUCCGAUUAGCUCGUUGGUGGGGUAAUGGCUUACCAAGGCGACGAUCGGUAGGUGGUCUGAGAGGACGAUCACCCAGACUGGGACUGAGACACGGCCCAGACUCCUACGGGAGGCAGCAGUCGGGAAUUUUGCUCAAUGGGGGAAACCCUGAAGCAGCAACGCCGCGUGAGGGAUGAAGGCCUUCGGGUUGUAAACCUCUUUUGUCAGGGACGAUGAUGACGGUACCUGGCGAAUAAGCCACGGCUAACUACGUG